rnacentral:rRNA from 1 species
UGGGGAAUAUUGCGCAAUGGGGGGAACCCUGACGCAGCCAUGCCGCGUGAAUGAAGAAGGCCUUCGGGUUGUAAAGUUCUUUCGGCAUUGAGGAAGGUUGAUGUGUUAAUAGCACAUCAAAUUGACGUUAAAUACAGAAGAAGCACCGGCUAACUCCGUGCCAGCAGCCGCGGUAAUACGGAGGGUGCGAGCGUUAAUCGGAAUAACUGGGCGUAAAGGGCACGCAGGCGGUUAUUUAAGUGAGGUGUGAAAGCCCUGGGCUUAACCUAGGAAUUGCAUUUCAGACUGGGUAACUAGAGUACUUUAGGGAGGGGUAGAAUUCCACGUGUAGCGGUGAAAUGCGUAGAGAUGUGGAGGAAUACCGAAGGCGAAGGCAGCCCCUUGGGAAUGUACUGACGCUCAUGUGCGAAAGCGUGGGGAGCAAACAGGAUUAGAUACCCUGGUAGUCCACGCUGUAAACGCUGUCGAUUUGGGGAUUGGGCUUAGAGCUUGGUGCCCGUAGCUAACGUGAUAAAUCGACCGCCUGGGGAGUACGGCCGCAAGGUUA